rnacentral:rRNA from 1 species
CCUACGGGUGGCAGCAGUGAGGAAUAUUGGUCAAUGGACGAGAGUCUGAACCAGCCAAGUAGCGUGAAGGAUGACUGCCCUAUGGGUUGUAAACUUCUUUUAUAUGGGAGUAAAAUGUUCCACGUGUGGGAUUUUGUAUGUACCAUAUGAAUAAGGAUCGGCUAACUCCGUGCCAGCAGCCGCGGUAAUACGGAGGAUCCGAGCGUUAUCCGGAUUUAUUGGGUUUAAAGGGAGCGUAGGUGGAUUGUUAAGUCAGUUGUGAAAGUUUGCGGCUCAACCGUAAAAUUGCAGUUGAAACUGGCAGUCUUGAGGACAGUAGAGGUGGGCGGAAUUCGUGGUGUAGCGGUGAAAUGCUUAGAUAUCACGAAGAACUCCGAUUGCGAAGGCAGUUCACUGGACGGCAACUGACACUGAGGCUCGAAAGUGUGGGUAUCAAACAGGAUUAGAUACCCCAGUAGU